UGCUCUCUCUGGCAGCACAUAUACUAAAUUGGACCCAUACAGAGCAGACUAGCAUGACCUGCACAAGGAUGACACUUAAAAAUUUCACUUUCUCCUCUUCCAU
ensembl:snRNA U6 U6 spliceosomal RNA